ACCAUCUGGGAGUCGGGGCUGGCUUUAGCUCCAAACAUCCUUUCCAGGCUGCAUUUCCCCCUCGGAAUUCGCCUGGAGCUCAGCAGUAUGAAGCCCUUGAAUUCUGGAGAAGCUUCCUGGGAAUCAAAAGAUACCAUAAUUGAGGAAGGAGAAAGACACCAUACAGGACCAAGUACUGUUUUUUUUUAAUUUCUUUGUUUCAAGAGUUGCCAGGGUAAAAAAAAAUAAGAAACAAAAAAGAAAAAAAUAAUUGUCAAGUAAUUAUUCUAUUGAUGAUGAGUCUAGGAGCCAGAGACAAAGCAAGAUGGAAAAGGAAUUUGAUAUUAAAAAAAAGUAUGAG
rnacentral:lncRNA from 1 species